GAAUUUCCGCGAAUCGAGGAUACCAGAUCUAGAAAAGUAUUAUAAUUUCUUCCACACUAGACGUUUAUGGCCACUACAUGAUACAAGAAACGGCUGAUAAGGGAGCGAGGAUGCCUUGUUCUUCAUUGGUGGAAAGGAAGAAUUUGCAAGCUAGCCCAUAAAGCCUCUCAACUCCACCGUCCUCGAGGAUUUGGAGAGUAAAAAAAGGUGAGUGUUAGCAUGCAGUCAAGCAAGGAAGACAGGCACUCCACUGAUUCAUUUUAUAAUUGGCCAUUCCUAGCUCUCACAGCCAUUUUACUCAACUUCAAUAACAUAAUUAGGAUAAAUUUUGACAAUUGUCUUUGAAAUUAUCUAAUUAUAACAUUACAAUUUCUCAACUUAAAUAUAAUAUAAAACUC
rnacentral:misc_RNA from 1 species